rnacentral:rRNA from 1 species
AGAGUUUGAUCCUGGCUCAGAACGAACGCUGGCGGCGUGCUUAACACAUGCAAGUCGAACGAGAAAGAUUUCUUCGGAAAUUGAGUAGAGUGGCGCACGGGUGAGUAACGCGUAGGUAAUCUACCUUUAUAUUUGGGAUAACAUUGGGAAACUGGUGCUAAUACCGGAUACCCUUCAUUUCUUCGGGGUUAUGGAGGAAAGGUGGCCUCUUCAUGAAAGCUACCGUAUAGGGAUGAGCCUGCGUACCAUUAGCUAGUAGGUGGGGUAAUGGCCCACCUAGGCGACGAUGGUUAGCGGGUCUGAGAGGAUGAUCCGCCACACUGGAACUGGAACACGGACCAGACUCCUACGGGAGGCAGCAGUGAGGAAUAUUGCGCAAUGGGGGCAACCCUGACGCAGCGACGCCGCGUGAGUGAGGAAGGUUUUCGGAUCGUAAAGCUCUGUCAGAAGGGAAGAAGUGUUACGUAGUUAAUACCUGCGUAAUUUGACGGUACCUUCAGAGGAAGCACCGGCUAACUCCGUGCCAGCAGCCGCGGUAAUACGGAGGGUGCAAGCGUUGUUCGGAAUUACUGGGCGUAAAGGGCGCGUAGGCGGCCGGAUAUGUCAGGUGUGAAAGUCCACGGCUCAACCGUGGAAGUGCAUUUGAAACUGUCCGGCUUGAGUAUCGGAGGGGAGUGUGGAAUUCCCGGGUAGAGGUGAAAUUCGUAGAGAUCGGGAGGAACACCGGUGGCGAAGGCGACACUCUGGACGAAUACUGACGCUGAGGCGCGAAAGCGUGGGGAGCAAACAGGAUUAGAUACCCUGGUAGUCCACGCCGUAAACGAUGUGAACUAGGGAUAGGGGGUGUUGAUCCCUCCUGUCCCGCAGCUA